rnacentral:rRNA from 1 species
UGUCUUCGGACAUUAGUGGCGGACGGGUGAGUAACGCGUGAGGAUCUGCCCUCAGGAUGGGGACAACAGUUGGAAACGACUGCUAAUACCCGAUGUGCCGGAAGGUGAAACUAUUUGGCCUGAGGAUGAGCUCGCGUCUGAUUAGCUAGUUGGAGUGGUAACGGCACACCAAGGCGACGAUCAGUAGCUGGUCUGAGAGGAUGAUCAGCCACACUGGGACUGAGACACGGCCCAGACUCCUACGGGAGGCAGCAGUGGGGAAUUUUCCGCAAUGGGCGAAAGCCUGACGGAGCAAGACCGCGUGGGGGACGAAGGUUUGUGGAUUGUAAACCCCUUUUGAUUGGGAAGAAGUUCUGACGGUACCAAUCGAAUCAGCAUCGGCUAACUCCGUGCCAGCAGCCGCGGUAAUACGGAGGAUGCAAGCGUUAUCCGGAAUUAUUGGGCGUAAAGCGUCCGUAGGUGGUUGGUCAAGUCAGUUGUUAAAGCGUGGGGCUUAACCCCAUAAAGGCAAAUGAAACUGACUAGCUAGAGUGCGAUAGGGGCAAGGGGAAUUUCCAGUGUAGCGGUGAAAUGCGUAGAUAUUGGAAAGAACACCGGUGGCGAAAGCGCCUUGCUGGGUCUGCACUGACACUGAGGGACGAAAGCUAGGGGAGCGAAAGGGAUUAGAUACCCCUGUAGUCCUAGCCGUAAACGAUGGAUACUAGGCGUUGUCCGUAUCGACCCGAGCCGUGCCGAAG